UACAGAGGGGGCAAGCGUUAUUCGGAAUUACUGGGUGUAAAGGGCGUGUAGGCGGGGAUGUAAGUCAGAUGUGAAACUCCGAAGCUUAACUUCGGAACUGCAUCUGAAACUGUGUCUCUUGAGUGCUGGAGAGGAAAGCGGAAUUCCUAGUGUAGCGGUGAAAUGCGUAGAUAUUAGGAGGAGCACCAGUGGCGAAGGCGGCUUUCUGGACAGUAACUGACGCUGAGGCGCGAAAGCGUGGGGAGCAAACAGGAUUAGAAACCCUUGUAGU
rnacentral:rRNA from 1 species